UUGCAACCUGAACUCAGGCGUGAUUACCCGCUGAACUUAAGCAUAUCAUUUAGCGGAGGAAAAGAAACUAACAAGGAUUCCCCUAGUAACGGCGAGUGAACGGGGAGAAGCCCAGCGCUGAAUCUUUCGGUGUUACACCGUUAAGAAAUGUAGCGUAUAGGUGUGGUUUUCAGUUUGUGCUACUUAUCCAAAGUCCCUUUGAUAGGGGCCACAUUCCGAGAGGUGCGAGACCUGUGCGGAUAGUGGAGCAAGCUGUACGAUCAUACCUUGGAGUCAGGUUGCUUGAAAGUGCAGCCUAAAGUGGGUGAUAAACUUCAUCUAAGGCUAAAUAUAGACGCGAAUUCGAUAGCAAACAAGUACUGUGAAGGAAAGUUGCAAAGAACUUUGAAGAGAGUUCAAGAGAACGUGAAAUCGCUGGAGUGGAAACGGAGAGUUGACGUAGUCCGGUGACUAAGUUUGCCGAAAUCGCUUAAUUGUGAUUAAGGUGAAUGUAUGUUGCCUAUGGCUGCGCUGACAGCACUGGUUGUACGUUCGAACCGUUUUCGUUGCCCAAUUUUCGAAUUGGUGUCUUGUUUACAGGUAGGUUUGUUAUGACUAGUGUUUUAUCCUGUUUUAUGCAGGGUGUCAGUGUGAAGGUCGACCACCUCUCCGACCCGUCUUGAAACACGGACCGAGAGUGUAACUUGUACGCGAGUCAAAGGGUGGAAAAACCCCAAGGCGCAAUGAAAGUAAAGGUCGGUUAACCGACUGACAUGGGAUCCGUUUCGUUUUGAAGCGGCGCACCAUGGCCCUGUCUUGUCUGCUUGCAGAUGGGCAGCGGUAGAGCGUACAGGUUGCGACCCGAAAGAUGGUGAACUAUGCCUGAGCAGGACGAAGUCAGAGGAAACUCUGGUGGAAGUCCGUAUCGGUUCUGACGUGCAAAUCGAUCGAUAGACUUGGGUAUAGGGGCGAAAGACUAAUCGAACCAUCUAGUAGCUGGUUCCUCCGAAGUUUCCCCCAGGAUAGCUGGAGUUCAUUGCGGUUAUAUCCGGUAAAGCGAAUGAUUAGAGGACUUGGGGUCGAAACGACCUCAACCUAUUCUCAAACUUUCAAUGGGUAUGUUGUCUCGGUUUCUUUGUUGAACUGUUGACACGAACGCGAACUCCAAGUGGGCCAUUUUUGGUAAGCAGAACUGGCGCUGUGGGAUGAACCAAACGUUGGGUUAAGGUGCCUAACUUUUCGCUCAUGAGACCCCAUAAAAGGCGUUGGUUGAUAUAGACAGCAGGACGGUGGCCAUGGAAGUCGGUACCCGCUAAGUGUGUAACAACUCACCUGCCGAAUCAACUAGCCCUGAAAAUGGAUGGCGCUUGAGCGAGAGACCUAUACCCAACCGUUGCUGGCUUGUGCGUGCCUGUCGCCUGGCUGCAACAGUAGGAGGUCGUGGCGGUUGCGUCGAAGGUUUUGGGCGUAGGCCCAACUGGAGCUUCCGUCAGUGCAGAUCUCGGUGGUAGUAGCAAAUAUUUAAGUUCGAUCCUUGAAGACUGAAGUGGAGAAGGGUUCCACGUGAACAGUAGUUGAAUGUGGGUCAGUCGAUCCUAAGAUACUGGCUUAUGCCUUGUAUCAUCGAGAGGGAAAAGUCUCUUUUCUCUCGGAUAUCAAAAGGGAAUAGGGUUAAUAUUCCCUAACGCAGACACAGAGAUUGUGGCUCUUACGAGUCACUUGCGCGGUAACGCAUUCGAACUUGGUUACGUCGCUCAGAGACCGAGCUAGAGUUCUCUUCUCUAGUUAAGGAACGGACUCCCUGGAAUCGGUUCAGCCGUAGAUAGGGACGUUGUUUCCGUAAAGCAUCGCGGUUUCUGUGAUGUCUCGUGUUCUCUGGACGGCCUUGAAAACCAAGGAGGCUAUUAAUCUGUGCUGCAUCGUACCGAUAUCCGCAUCAGGUCUCCAAGGUGAACAGCCUCUAGUCGAUAGAAUAAUGUAGGUAAGGAAGUCGGCAAAUUAGAUCCGUAACUUCGGGGAAAAAGUUGGCUCCAGUGACCGGGUCGGUUGGCUUGUUAACUGAUGCUUGUGCGGUUUCGUCCGUGGCUGGCUGAUACUAACGUUGAUGCUGGACUAGUGACAUGACUGCCUUGUGGACGUUUUCAGGUGUGUGCUUUGUCUUCGGACUUAGUAUCCUGAUCGACCAUCAAAACGGUCGAACUGGAACUGGUACGGACUCGGGGAAUCCGACUGUCUAAUUAAAACAGAGGAGACAGAUGGUCCUUGCGGACGUUUACUGUCUCUGAUUUCUGCCCAGUGCUCUGAAUGUUAAAUCGUAGUAAUUCGAGUAAGCGCGGGUAAACGGCGGGAGUAACUAUGACUCUCUUAAGGUAAAGCCAAAUGGAGUAACUAUGACUCUCAGCUAACUACUGACGCGCAUGAAUGGAUUUGAACGAGAUUCCCUGACUACUUGAAUGGAUUAACAAUUCCACUAGCACAACCAGAAACGGGCAAGCGAAAAUGCGCAGUGAAAGAAGACAAGAAUGAGUUGACCUGGUAAAAAUAGAGGAAAGAUUGAGGUUGUAGUCAUUGGAAACUCUAGUGAGAGUGUAGACUGAACCGACAAUUUAUAUGUGUAGCAGUGGGACCACUCUGGUCGACAACUUUAGAAAUUCGGUGAGAAGAGAAUUGACUUUACUUAGAUUCUGGAGAGAGAAGAGAAUUGGCCGAAAGCGGCUCUUUUUUCGGGGUAUUCGUGGAUCUAACAAGAGUGAAACCCAGCGUGCCCUUAGAUCCUGAGUGACUAUACGGGGAGUUUGACAAAAGGCUUACUGGGAUUAUUUCGAAGGGUGGAAGCUAACAGCUCUCACGAGGCUGAGCAAUAGUUGCGACGGAAAGGAACAGCCUAGAAGUAAGAGUCAGAGCAAACGAUCUUGGCUUUGAUUCAACGAGUUUCUGAGCGAAAGCAGAUGAAAGCAGAAUCAUCGGACUUGGUCUUGCUGGGCCUGUAAGAGGUGUCAGAAAAGUUACCACAGGAUAACUGGUUUUGGCAGCCAAGCGUCCAUAGCGACGUUGCUUUUUGAUCCUUCGAUGUCGGCUCUUCCUAUCAUUGCGAAGCAGAAUUCGCCAAGCGUUGGAUUGUUCACCCACUAAUAGGGAACGUGAGCUGGGUUUAGACCGUCGUGAGACAGGUUAGUUUUACCCUACUGUUGACUAAUUGUUGCGAUAGUAAUCCUGCUUAGUACGAGAGGAACAGCAGGUUCAGACAUUUGGUUCAUGGACUUGACCGAUCGGUCAAUGGUCCGAAGCUACCAUCUGGGGGAUUAUGACUGAACGCCUCUAAGUCAGAAUCCCACCUAGUCAAGGCAGCGAUAACUUUGUUUCCCGGUGUCGGGAGG
rnacentral:rRNA from 1 species